GGUGAGGCAAGUUAACCUAGAAGCCCUCCUCCAAUUAAUGUGUUAUUGCUCCUUUAAAACCAAGAACAAACGGCCCAGUGCUCGUGAUCCCGGAGGCUGCAGAGCAGUAAUUGUCACUUAGCCACUUAACUCCCCGCCGCACUGCUCACUCGCUCGUUGGGGUUUAUCUCUCAGCCAAUUACGGCUGUCAUUUGCGUUUCAAUACGUGCCGUCAGGGGCCGGCCCAGUCGACGGCGGAACAGGAAACCCUGGGACCCGAGGCGACUGGCUCCCGGUGGCUGCGGAAGCCCACGCCUCACCGCUGGCUGCUCUGGGGAAGCUGCAAAAGUGUUCUGGGGAGCGCGCUCUCAGCACGGCUGCAGAGGGGCCCCAGGGACCCCACCACACUCCAGGUUUGUUCUGAGCCUGGGUCUACACUGAGGCACCCGAAAAGAGGAAUGGCUGACUCUUGAAAGCCCGAAGUCAAUAAUAGUCACGGCAAUGUGAACGCAAUAGAAAGUUUAGCUGCUGAGCCUGACAGCAGACAAGAGACAAGUAGGGGAAGUAGCAGGGGUUACUGCAAUAUAUUAUUGUGAAAUCAAGGCAGGCACUGUCUCCAAAUGCAAACACAGCAGAUCCUUAAAUCACUGCUCUUUUAUGCACUUAGAUUUCCACACAGGGGGUUUACCCAUCUACAACUCGGCCCUAAAGUGUAGGGGACACGUGGAUUUUCUUAGGCGAUCCUGAGUUGAAAUAUCUAAAAAUUAUAUUUAUAUCCUAUCGUCAAAUGAUAUAGGUUUGUAAUAAAUGUGUAGUCACAAAUUUUAUUUUUAAAAAUUUUAAAAAUUUAUUAUUUUUUUAAAGUUUCCUUAAAGGCAUAAUUCUGAUGGGAAUUUUUUAAUAAUUAAAUCAGAAACAAAACAAAACCUUUGCCAGGUCAUGUGUCCCAAUUUUUGCUUUUUGAAAAGAUGUUGUUUCUGGUUGCUCAGUGAGUCCUAAACACAAAAGGCCUCAUCUUUUCAAAUAUUUUAUUUACUUGGACUUCCUGGAUCAAAUCUAUACCACUGAUCACUGCAUUAAGGCGUUUAUCCCGGAGGUUUAAACCUCUCCUGUUUGCAGAGGAAGCAUCUGAGCCAGAAUGUAUUAAGCUAGCCUGAGACAUCCUUUGGAAUACACUUGGUCUACUUUAGGGAUAUACACAUUUUCAACCCUGAUUAUGGGAAGAAAGGGGGAAAGGGUGAGAGGCUGAGGAACAGACCGAGCCUUUUACAACCAACCUCCUCAAUGCACCACAGUUGACUGUCAGGGGGAAGGCAGAGUGCACCAACACGCAGGGCAGAAUAUCAGCUAGCUGGGUGGUAAGCGAUCUCUGGGUUGUCAGCAUCUUCGUUUUCCCAGCUGAAUAGCAGUGAGAUUGUCCUGCUCACCCUGCAGUUAGCAGCAAGCUCCCCCUGACAUUCCAUCCUCUGAAGCCCCAGCAACCACCGGGGAGGAGGGCUGGCAGUUGAGGCCAUGCCAGAAGAGACCUGUUCUAGCUGGAUCCACACACUCCAGUCUCUGGGUCUAAAAUAAGACUCUUAACUUCUCUGCCAAUGAGCUUCACCAGGCCCGAUGACGUUAACGUGUGCUGUCAGCUCUAUUUGCAGUCAAGGUCCCUGUUCACCAGGAUUUCAUCCAGUCAUCACCCUGACCCGUCUCUGAUGCAAGAGGGCACUUCAAAAGAUGCAGAGUUCCUAAGAUAGCCAGUGGCCAGAGUGUGAACUUCCUAAUUAAGGACCUACACAAAACCAAAAGUCACUUUCUGGAGAAACAAGUUCCUCUUCUCUGGGAACUGUGAGCGGCAGCCCAGUGGAGGUUUGGAAGCCUGCCACAGAUGGCCAAGAACAAAACCCAGGCCAAUCAGCAGGGCGGAUCUGAGCCCACAUCCAGAGAGGAGCUGCCUCACCACAGCCCUGCUGCUGCCACCAGCUGUCCGAGGAGCUACCUCCAGGGGCCGGGGGGGGGGGGGGGGGGGAGCCCCACCUUCCUCAAACAAUGUCACAAAGUCCCUGGUAGUUGCUGUGCAACCUACCUUUCUUCACUCUCUGUGGUCAGAGUCUGUUCUGACUCAGUGAAGAACAUUUGUUUCCACCUUGUCUGUUCCCAGCCAUGUCAGUCACUCUCCCCAACUUCCACAGAGGGAAUCAGUGGAACCACCAGCCCCAGAUCCUCCAAGAUCAUACUCAGAACUCAGCCUGGAGCCCCAGUUCUUCCCUGGGCAUCUCUGCAGACAGGCCAAACCCACGUAUCGAAAGCUGAAUCCAUUAGCUGCCUCUCCAGUGUGACCCUUCCGUGUAUGACACCAGCUGCACUUGGGGCUGGGAGGUCAUGCUUGACUGCCUCCUCUCAUCUCCUACACCCAACUGCAAGCUUUCUGAGUUUUACUUAAUAAACAUUUCUCAAAUCCA